ACACAAGCUUUAGAAUGCAUACUGAACAAGAAUAUAAACAAAAUUCUCAUCACCAUUUCAACACUUGAAUGCAAGAAAGAUCCGCAAAACAAUUUGUUGCCAAAACUUCCUGAGCCAAGGCAGGACACAGGGUCAGUGUGCAAAGCCUUGUAACACUGUGAAUUGAGCUAGUUCUGUGUUCGAUUUUUUUUCCUGGAGUUCUUUUGCUAUAUUCACCUUGUAUGCAUUAGCAUUGACAUGUUAACAAAAAUAGCACACACUCAAAGUCAUUCUCAUUCUUUAUUUCUGCGUGCUAUUUAGCACCCAGUUAACUCUGUAAAUUCUACUUUGUGACAUAGGGGCGCUCUGUAACUUCUAAUUUUGUGACAGAUCUGAAAGCCAACUCUGUAAAUUCUACUUUUAUGACAGAUCUGAAAACGCUCCUAAGAAAUCCAUACUCAAUACUUUCUAAUUGCAUGCACUCAAGCAACUAUCUAUGCCAGCUAGAGCAAGCUGAGUACAGCUUUCAACAGAUAGUUGGCUGCCCUUCUGAAAGAAGCAAGCAUCUUAUGCAUACAGCUAUACCCCAUUAUAUAUGGACGGAUGGCUGUCUUCCUCCAUGGUUGCUGGCCCCCAUGACAGAGUGCAAUUAAAAGACUAAUGAAUGACUACACACUCCCUAAAACCUCAUCAAAUCAAGCAAUCAAGACCAAACCCAACAAAAGAAAAGAGGUGUCAGAAUCUUCUUAGUUUCUUCGGUUCUCUAUGCUACAUAAUAUUUAUUCCAUUGCUGCUUGCUACCUACACUGUGACCUGGAUACGCCAAUUGGAGUUGGAGGCCAGGCCCGAGGCGCUUGCCCGGCGGGACCUUGAACCAGACUACCAGACGCAUUGUGCCAGCCGCCCUAUGGUCUUCUUCCCAAAUAUAAAUCAAAGUAGGUAUGGUGGACUCUCAUGGCAAAACUGGGUUGGAGG